AAAUCUACUACUGUAGACAUUGUAUUCAAUAUGCAUAUAUAAAUAUAAAGAAUUUAAAUGGAAUUACCCUAUAAUGAGAGCAAGGAACCAUAGCCUUACUAGAUACUCCAUGCUAGCAAAUUAAAACUCCAAUACUAGAAAUAGGUUACCUCUUUUUGAGCUGUUGAUCAGUAGGGCGUCAUAAGCCCCCAAACAUUACAGGCUACUGUCACUGCUCUUGGUUACCCUCCAGAACUUGAUGGUGAGACUCUAUUGCUGAAGACACCACAUACUUGCAUCAAAGAUGCAGAGAAACAAAAUUGGCACUAAACUGGAAGCUUCUCCCCACUGACUGGCUUCCACAGUGCUGGAAUGUACUGCGCGUGCGACCAGAGGUGAUCAGUAAUCCUCAGUUUCACUGAGCUGUGAACCCUGCGAGCUACAGCAACAACUACCCUGGCAAGACCACCUACUGCUGCUGCAGUGGCAUGAAUGUUAAUGGGAGUAACUAAACAUUUCAUGACUCAAUUUAUGGGCUACUCCAUGGCGUGGAACCUGUGCCUGGCGCCAUGACCGGGUCUAAGAACCUGAGGCUAGACAUGUCAUAGGCCCAGGGAAGAACCUAGUACUAUUAUUCUGAUACAUGGACAUAUUAUUAAAAAUGAUUUUUUAAAAA
rnacentral:lncRNA from 1 species